GGGGGGGGGUAGGACAUUGAUUGGAAUAUUGUCUUUAGAAAGUGAUUUAGAGAGCAGCCAGUAAUCCAGGCCAGACUGUCUGGAGCCAUUUUUAUUCCUCCAAGUAUUUGGAAACUUCUCUCUCCAUACAUCACAUCAAUCAUACUUGUCAAUGAAAGAGUUGAAGUGAACAUUUGGCUGUGAGCAUUUAGCUGGAGGCCAUCUAUCAUCACCUCAUUCAUGAGCACAUUAAAAUCACCUCCUACAAUGAAGUAAGCCUCAGGGAAUGUGUGAGUUAGAGCUGCAAGUUUACAGUCUAAUGUAGGAAUAAGUUUAUCCUUUUCUGAUGUAGAAUUAUAAGCGUACAAAUGAACAAUAAUCAUUGCUUUGCCAUUCCAGUCUACUAUUAAACAAAUCAAAUGAGCUUGACUGUCACAGAGUGCAUCAAUUUUCCAGGAAAACUCCCCUUUAAACAAGAUCCCCCAGCAGAAUGUUCUGUCCAUGUCAUCACCACAUGUCGUUUCCCACUGAUUUUUACACAAGUUUACAUCUUUAAUAAGUGAGUGUGAUUCUUGGAAAAAACCAAAUCAGUUUUCAGCUGUUUAACAUUAAAAAUAAAGCUUUACGCUUUACAUUAUUCCUCAGUCCACUAGCAUUGAGUGAGACAAGUGAAAAAGACAUAAAAAGAAGAAAUAAAGCAAAAAGCUUUCUAAGCUUCUAGCUAUGUAUAUUCUGGCACACACACAAAAAGGAAAGGCAGCUCAGCGACACCUAUAACCUGAUGUUCUAGUUCAUUAAAUGAGAUGUUCCAAAGGGAUUUAAGGCAAUGGGCUAGCAUAGAGUGAUAUCACUGAAAAAGAGGAAAAAGAAAAGAACAAAGUUCUGUUUUGCUGCACAAUUGUAGAAAAUGAUUUAAAGUUGUACAGUCAGUCAUGGCGCCAGUGAAGUUUGUAUCAGUCUGGGAGAAUGAUGUCACCUCUAUGAACGCUCUGGUCCUUUAUCAGUGGAACAGUGUGAGAGCCAUGUAACGUCCAUGUGUGCUGCUGAAAGAGUCUCUGCUGCUCUGACCGUCCUCCUCCUUUCAGGGUGACGCCUGCUGGAGUCCCAUGGUUGACACCAGGUCUGAGGAAGUAUUCCUGUCAACUCACAGUCGACACAAACACAGUACACAGAGAACUCAGACUGUCUGACAACAACAGGAAGGUGACAUUUGUGGAGGAGGAUCAGAGGUAUCCUGAUCAUCCAGACAGGUUUGACUGGUAUUUUCAGCUGCUGUGUAGAACUGGUCUGACUGGUCGCUGUUACUGGGAGGUGGAGUGGAGAGAAGGGGUUUAUAUAUCAGUGAGUUACAGAGGAAUCAGAAGGAAAGGAUGCAGUAAUGACUGUUGGUUUGGAUAUAAUGAUCAGUCCUGGAGUCUGUUCUGCUAUGAUGAUGGUUACUCUGUCAUUCACAAUAACAGACAAACAUCCAUCAGGUCCUCCUCAGUCUCUCACAGAGUUUCAGUUUAUGUGGACGUUCCUGCUGGAACUCUGUCCUUCUACAGAGUCUCCUCUGACUCUCUGAUCCUCCUCCACACCUUCAACACCACAUUCACUGAACCUCUCUAUCCUGGAUUUGGGGUCUACUGGUCCAGGCCUGGUUCCUCAGUGUCUCUGUGCUGAGUCUCGUCUCCAGAGUCUCCUCCUGGUACAGAAACAGUGUUGAACAGAUGGUUGAGUCUCUCCAUGACUCUGUCCCUCACAAACAUGUUUUCACAUUCAUGGAUUAAAUGUGUUUCUUUGUCAAAUCCUUCUCAAUGAUUCCUUGUAAACUUGUUCCUCUUCAAAGAUGAAGUUGUGAUUCUUCCAGGAGCCAAAUGUGGUGUUUGCGUCUUUUUCCAGUCAAAUGUUGAGAGUGAAAAUCAGGAUGUGGUGUUCCUCUGACGCUCACUGGAACUAAAAGCAUUUGAGCUGCACAAAGUGUGAAAUGAGAGAGGAAGCAGUGAAUCUCCAAACUGCUGACAGACUUUCACACAUUAUUGUCCAGUGAAAAUCAGCUUUUUGUGCAGCCACACUUGAUCCUGAUGUGAGUCUUUAAGUCCUGUUCUAGUGAUGAAAUGAGAACUUCCUUCAUCUGUGUCACUCUUUCCAAAGUAUUCUGUGCUCUUCUGUCAUUUAUGUCUUAUUGAUAGAUCCAUUUUUCAUUUUUACUAUAAAUAAGUGCUUCAAUGUUUUUUCAUCAGUUUUUUUUUAUCAGAUUCUGAAUUUCUGGUUUCAUCAAGAAAUUCUAUCAGAUUGUAUUUUUCCAUCAAAGCUCCCAUAACCCUAGCUAUCUGUGGAUCAAAAUGUUUUCAGCAUCGAUAUGAUUCCAGUAGAAUUUAAACCCACCAGGACUAUCCAGAUUACAUUGAACUCUGUAAAUUCUACAUUUUUUAGCCUGUUUCAUUCUAUAAAUGUUGUGUUUGGCCGUUAAAGGAGCUUUUCCUCACAUUGUGCUGUAUUUGAACCCUUCCAUGCUCUAAAUUCUUUGAACAGAUCUUGUGCUGUAAUCAAUGUCUAACUUAGUUUUUAUUUUCAUUGCAGUGGUUGAUUUUUCCUGAACAAGAUCAAUGAUUUUAAUACGUCUUUCUCCACUUUUAUUUGCUCUGCCUGUGGCUUUUAAACUAUUCUAACUUUCUUUUUUAUUCAAUAAAUGACUAAUAACACA